GUCGCGAGGGUCUGGGGACAUGCGGUGCCAGGGAUGUGGGGUCUCAGCAGGACAAGGGUCAUGGGCUCCUGAGGUCCCAUGGAGGUAUGGAGUGCAGUUACAUGGUGUCCUGGGGAUAAGGGAUGCAGAGAGCAGAGGGCACAGGAUCCCAUGGUCCUGAGGUCUCAGAUAUGGAGUGCGGUUACAUGGUGUCCUGGGGGUAUGGUGUUCUGGAGAUAUGGGUUUCUGGGGAUAAGGGGUGCAAGGAUCAGGGAGCACAGGAUCCUGGGGUCCUGGGCUCCUGAGGUCCCAGAGUUUUGGAGUCCAGGUAUGUGGUGUCCUGGGGAUAUAGGGUGCCGGGGAUAUGGGGUUCUGGGCAUAAGGGAUGAAGAGAGCAGAGAGCAUAGUAUCCCAGGGUCGCAGGGUCCCAAGUCUGUGCCAGGGGCACACCAGGACCUGGACACACGGGUCAAGGGCACAUGGUGUCUGGGCCACAGCGGGACCUGUGCACAGGGGCUGUGGGACAGCCGGGCUCCUGGACAUAGGAGGCUGCAGACAUGCAGUGCCUGGGCACAUGGGUGCAGGGCAGACGGUGUCACACCCCCCACCAACUCUGGCAGGGCCCAGCCUGGCCUGUACCAAUCCCUGGCUUGUCCUGCCCGCCCCCGUGGGUGGCUCUGGCAGGAGCCUGGCACUGGCACUGCCCUUCGGUCGGCGCAUGUGUGCGCACACGUGCUUGUUGCUAAACUUGUGCCUCUCAUAUGUCUCCCAGACAUUUGCCUUGCAGGUUUUAGUUACAGAAGAGUGAAGAGGUGGCCAUGGUGUGAGGUGUACCUGGCACUGCCUACAGCCCUGCACCCUUGGGCUCCUGCAGUCCCUUGGCCCUAAAAAUGUGUGUGUACAGGGAACAACCACACACUGGGAAAGCAAGUGCCGGCAUUACUGGGAUCUGCUCUCUCAUAAGGCCUCCUUACUGAUAGCAAAUCAUGGGAUCUGCUCCACCCUUAUCUCCACAAGUAUAUCACUGAUCUCCAGUUUAAUCUCUCCGUGCCACCAGCAUCCUGUCUGCAGCAGAGGUGCAGUAAUGCUGCUUCAACUGUCCUGUUUUAGCUGUGAGGCCUGGAUUUGUCUUACUGCCUUUCCACUGACGAGCCCGUGCUGUCUUGAGACCUUUCCUUCCUUAUAUGCAGAGGUUCUUCCUGGAUUUCUCUGAGGACACUUGCAUUGGCAGAGCAACAGAGAUCUGAAGUGUGGCGUUUGCUGCAAACUAAAGGCAAACAAUUCAGUUCAGUCCUUGAAAAAGGAGGAAUCUGCUCACCCAUGUUUAACUGCUCUCUGGAUUCCGCACUUUUCUAACCAUCAUUUCCACUUGUGUGACCUACCCAGAGGUGUGGGCUCACACGGUACUCCUGCUGACCCGGGCAGGACAUCGUGUGCCCGGUGCAUGGUUCCACACUGACGUGGUUCUUGAAAAUCCGAUGUGACUGAGGGCAUCCACAGCUCGGGGGUGAGUUAGUGCCAGGUCUCCUGGCACUACCCAGCAGUGCUGGAAACAGCCUCGGGGAUAAACACUUAUUGCAAAUGAUCAGGCAGACCCUUCCUCAAAGAGGUCCUCCCAAGACAAUGUUUGUAGGGCUUC